rnacentral:rRNA from 1 species
GCAAGGUGAGUGGCAGACGGGUGAGUAACGCGUGGGAACCUUCCCUUUGGUACGGAAUAACUUCGGGAAACCGAAGCUAAUACCGUAUAAGUCCUUCGGGAGAAAGAUUUAUCGCCAAAGGAUGGGCCCGCGUUGGAUUAGCUAGUUGGUGGGGUAAAGGCCUACCAAGGCAACGAUCCAUAGCUGGUCUGAGAGGAUGAUCAGCCACACUGGGACUGAGACACGGCCCAGACUCCUACGGGAGGCAGCAGUGGGGAAUAUUGGACAAUGGGCGCAAGCCUGAUCCAGCCAUGCCGCGUGAGUGAAGAAGGCUCUUAGGG